rnacentral:lncRNA from 1 species
GGACUGGGCUGCAAGGUAGCAGCUAUGCUGAUUGUUGGCUCCACUGAAGUAGAUAGGUGAAUGUUUGCAUCUCCCUCUUGCCCUCCCCUUGCCCCGUUUUCAUCAUAGUCUUGUGUGCCUGUGUCACCUGGCUCCAGUUGGAAAUGCAAGAAUAAACAGGAAAAUUACUUGCAGAUAGUUUGAGAAUCAUCCCACCUGUUGCCUGCCUGAACCAAGAACCAGAUCCUAGAGGAGGACUGUGCCAUACUAGUUGGUUGCAGAUCUACUGGGAUCCUAAUAUUGAGAGAGAUCUAACAGUGCUCCCUGCCUGCCUAUCAGCACAGAUACGCAGUUUUCAUCUGUGGAGAGUUUUCUAACUUU